GUUAUAGGGUCAAGCGAACAAGUGCAUGUGGUGGAUGCCUUGGCGAUCACAGGCGAUGAAGGACGCGGUAGCCUGCGAAAAGCUUCGGGGAGCUGGCAAACGAGCUUUGAUCCGGAGAUGUCCGAAUGGGGAAACCCGGCCCGUAUGGGUCAUCCCACACUGAAUCCAUAGGUGUGGGAAGCGAACGCGGCGAACUGAAACAUCUAAGUAGCUGCAGGAACAGAAAUCAACCGAGAUUCCCAAAGUAGUGGCGAACGAAAUGGGAACAGCCUUGUACUCUUUAGCAGUGGUGUUAGCAGAACGGGAUGGAAAGCCCGGCCAUAGCAGGUGAUAGCCCUGUAUGCGAAAACACGAUUGUGGAACUAGGUGUACGACAAGUAGGGCGGGACACGUGAAAUCCUGUCUGAAGAUGGGGGGACCAUCCUCCAAGGCUAAAUACUCGUGAUCGACCGAUAGUGAACCAGUACCGUGAGGGAAAGGCGAAAAGAACCCCGGGAGGGGAGUGAAAUAGAUCCUGAAACCGCAUGCAUACAAACAGUCGGAGCCCUUUCGGGGGUGACGGCGUACCUUUUGUAUAAUGGGUCAGCGACUUACAUUCAGUGGCAAGCUUAACCGGUUAGGGAAGGCGUAGCGAAAGCGAGUCCGAACAGGGCGUUGAGUCGCUGGGUGUAGACCCGAAACCAGAUGAUCUAUCCAUGGCCAGGUUGAAGGUGCGGUAACACGUACUGGAGGACCGAACCCACUAACGUUGAAAAGUUAGGGGAUGAGCUGUGGAUAGGGGUGAAAGGCUAAACAAAUCUGGAAAUAGCUGGUUCUCUCCGAAAACUAUUUAGGUAGUGCCUCGUGUCUCACCUUCGGGGGUAGAGCACUGUCAUGGUUGGGGGGUCUAUUGCUGAUUACCCCGCCAUAGCAAACUCCGAAUACCGAAGAGUGCAAUCACGGGAGACAGACAUCGGGUGCUAACGUCCGGUGUCAAGAGGGAAACAACCCAGACCGCCAGCUAAGGUCCCAAAGAUUGGCUAAGUGGGAAACGAAGUGGGAAGGCUAAAACAGUCAGGAGGUUGGCUUAGAAGCAGCCCCAGUCACCGAAGCUGCGGACGCGUGCGUUCCUUUAAGUGCACCAAGCUUGUCGAUGCGCAGCAUCGACAAAGCCACCAACAAUGAUCGCUGGUGGUCGUGCUAGUGGAUUUAAAGGAGCGCACGCGUGGUAGGAGAGCGUUCUGUAAGCCUGUGAAGGUGUCUUGUAAAGGAUGCUGGAGGUAUCAGAAGUGCGAAUGCUGACAUGAGUAGCGAUAAAGGGGGUGAAAGGCCCCCUCGCCGUAAGCCCAAGGUUUCCUACGCAACGUUCAUCGGCGUAGGGUGAGUCGGCCCCUAAGGCGAGGCAGAGAUGCGUAGCUGAUGGGAAGCAGGUUAAUAUUCCUGCACCGUCGUAUGAUGCGAUGGGGGGACGGAUCGCGGAAGGUUCUCCGGGUGUUGGAAGUCCCGGUCCCUGUAGUGGAGAAGGCGCUUAGGCAAAUCCGGGCGCGUAAUUCAAGGCUACGGGGCGAGCGGCCUAGUGCUGCGAAGCAAUUGGAAGUGGUUCCAAGAAAAGCCUCUAAGCUUCAGUCAUACGAGACCGUACCGCAAACCGACACAGGUGGGCGAGAUGAGUAUUCUAAGGCGCUUGAGAGAACUCGGGAGAAGGAACUCGGCAAAUUGGUACCGUAACUUCGGGAUAAGGUACGCCCUGGUAGCUUGACUGGCCUGCGCCAGAAGGGUGAAGGGGUUGCAAUAAAAUGGUGGCUGCGACUGUUUAAUAAAAACACAGCACUCUGCAAACACGAAAGUGGACGUAUAGGGUGUGACGCCUGCCCGGUGCCGGAAGAUUAAAUGAUGGGGUGCAAGCUCUUGAUUGAAGUCCCGGUAAACGGCGGCCGUAACUAUAACGGUCCUAAGGUAGCGAAAUUCCUUGUCGGGUAAGUUCCGACCUGCACGAAUGGCGUAACGAUGGCCACACUGUCUCCUCCCGAGACUCAGCGAAGUUGAAGUGUUUGUGAUGAUGCAAUCUCCCCGCGGCUAGACGGAAAGACCCCAUGAACCUUUACUGUAGCUUUGCAUUGGACUUUGAACCGAUCUGUGUAGGAUAGGUGGGAGGCUUUGAAGCGUGGACGCCAGUUCACGUGGAGCCGUCCUUGAAAUACCACCCUGGUUUGUUUGAGGUUCUAACCUUGGCCCGUGAAUCCGGGUCGGGGACAGUGCAUGGUAGGCAGUUUGACUGGGGCGGUCUCCUCCCAAAGUGUAACGGAGGAGUUCGAAGGUACGCUUGGUACGGUCGGACAUCGUACCUAAAGUGCAAUGGCAAAAGCGUGCUUAACUGCGAGACCGACAAGUCGAGCAGGUGCGAAAGCAGGACAUAGUGAUCCGGUGGUUCUGAAUGGAAGGGCCAUCGCUCAACGGAUAAAAGGUACUCUGGGGAUAACAGGCUGAUACCGCCCAAGAGUUCAUAUCGACGGCGGUGUUUGGCACCUCGAUGUCGGCUCAUCUCAUCCUGGGGCUGUAGCCGGUCCCAAGGGUAUGGCUGUUCGCCAUUUAAAGAGGUACGUGAGCUGGGUUUAAAACGUCGUGAGACAGUUUGGUCCCUAUCUGCCGUGGGCGUUGGAAUCUUGACGGGGGCUGCUCCUAGUACGAGAGGACCGGAGUGGACGUACCGCUGGUGUACCUGUUGUCUCGCCAGAGGCAUCGCAGGGUAGCUAUGUACGGAAGAGAUAACCGCUGAAAGCAUCUAAGCGGGAAACUCGCCUGAAGAUGAGGAUUCCCUGGAGGCUUGACCUCCUUGAAGGGUCGUUCGAGACCAGGACGUUGAUAGGCUGGGUGUGGAAGCGCAGUAAUGCGUUAAGCUAACCAGUACUAAUUGCCCGUAAGGCUUGAUCCUAUAACCAGUGUGUUUCA
rnacentral:rRNA from 1 species